rnacentral:rRNA from 1 species
UAAAAAGCUCGUAGUUGGAUCUCGGCGGGCAGGGGGUGGUUCGCUCUUCAGCGCAACUGCCCCGCUUUGCCCGUGUGAUUGGCGGAGGUUUCGGGGUGCUCUUCGUUGAGUGACUCGGAGCGCCGUCAGGUUUACUUUGAAAAAAUUAGAGUGCUCAAAGCAGGCUUUUCACGCUUGAAUAUUCGUGCAUGGAAUAAUGGAAUAGGAACUCGUUUCUAUUUUGUUGGUUUUCGGAAAUCGAGUUAAUGAUUAACAGGGACAAUUGGGGGCAUUAGUAUUCAGACGACAGAGGUGAAAUUCUUGGACCGUCUGAAGACUGACUACUGCGAAAGCAUUUGCCAAGAGUGUUUUCAUUAAUCAAGAACGAAAGUUAGAGGUUCGAAGGCGAUCAGAUACCGCCCUAGUUCUAACCAUAAACGAUGCCAGCUAGCGAUCUGCCGAGUUUUUUUUGUAGGCUCCGCAGGAAGCUUUCGGGAAACCAAAGCUUUUGGGUUCCGGGGGAAGUAUGGUUGCUAAGCUGAAACUUAAAGGAAUUGACGGAAGGGCACCACCAGGAGUGGAGCCUGCGGCUUAAUUUGACUCAACACGGGGAAAUCUCACCAGGCCCGG